UUCCACAUUCGCAUUCGAAAA
ensembl:piRNA 21ur-2231 ncRNA